rnacentral:pre_miRNA from 1 species
CCAACACUCCAUUCAUCCCAAAAAUUUUGUCUUAGAUUUGUGUAGAAAUGAAUAUAUCUAGUUAUAUUUUAGUAUCUAGAUACAUCCAUUUCUAGACAAACUUAAGACAAGAAUUUUGGGACGGAGGGAGUAUUAU